rnacentral:misc_RNA from 1 species
AAGUCGUAACAAGGUUUCCGUAGGUGAACCUGCGGAAGGAUCAUUAAUGAAUGAAAUUGAGUGGGGUUGUAGCUGGCCUUUCACCGGGCAUGUGCACACCUCAUUCGACCACCUUCUUACACCCCUGUGCACUUCUCAUGAGUUGGGCCGCGUCUGAAACACGACAAAGUCCGGCUCGUGUGUUUUAUACAAACGAAUCAUGUUACAGAAUGUCACUACCAUGCUUUGAAGCAUAUAAUACAACUUUCAACAACGGAUCUCUUGGCUCUC